UAGGGAAUCUUCGGCAAUGGAGGCAACCCUGACCGAGCAACGCCGCGUGAGUGAAGAAGGUUUUCGGAUCGUAAAGCUCUGUUGUAAGAGAAGAACGUGUGUGAGAGUGGAAAGUCCACACAGUGACGGUAACUUACCAGAAAGGGACGGCUAACUACGUGCCAC
rnacentral:rRNA from 1 species